rnacentral:misc_RNA from 1 species
GAUGAAGAACGUAGCGAAAUGCGAUAAGUAGUGUGAAUUGCAGAAUUCAGUGAAUCAUCGAAUCUUUGAACGCACAUUGCGCCCCUUGGUAUUCCGGGGGGCAUGCCUGUCCGAGCGUCAUUGCUGCCCUCAAGCACGGCUUGUGUGUUGGGCCCCCGUCCCCGGUUUCCCCCGGGGACGGGCCCGAAAGGCAGCGGCGGCACCGCGUCCGGUCCUCGAGCGUAUGGGGCUUUGUCACCCGCUCUGUAGGCCCGGCCGGCGCCAGCCGACACCCAACUUUAUUUCUAAGGUUGACCUCGGAUCAGGUAGGGAUACCCGCUGAACUUAAGCAUAUCAAUAAGCGGAGGA